rnacentral:rRNA from 1 species
GGAAUUCGAUUAACGCGAAGAACCUUACCCAGGCUUGAACUGCAGAUGACAUCCUACGAAAGUAGGCUUCCGCAAGGACGUCUGUAGAGGUGCUGCAUGGCUGUCGUCAGCUCGUGUCGUGAGAUGUUGGGUUAAGUCCCGCAACGAGCGCAACCCUUGUCUUCUGUUGCCAUCGGGUCAAGCCGGGCACUCUGAAGAGACUGCCGGUGACAAACCGGAGGAAGGUGGGGAUGACGUCAAGUCAGCAUGGCCUUUAUGUCUGGGGCCACACACGUGCUACAAUGGCCGGUACAAACCGUCGCAAACUCGCAAGGGUGAGCUAAUCGGAGAAAGCCGGUCUCAGUUCGGAUUGCAGGCUGCAACUCGCCUGCAUGAAGUUGGAAUCGCUAGUAAUCGCGGAUCAGCACGCCGCGGUGAAUACGUUCCCGGGCCUUGUCACACCGAAUCACUA